UUUAACAAGGUUGCUUUUUAUAUUUUGGAAGUGUCUUUUUACAAAACAAUCUAUACCAUUCACAAGAGGUUCUGCAAUGUAAUUACAUUAUGGAUGUGUUUAAUAACAGAUGACCAGAUCACCGUAAGGCUGCCGAAAUCUCGAAAUCGUAGGUGAUAUCACAAAACCAUAGUGUCAGAAAUGGGCAACAACGAAACUCGUUACCAGACAGCUGAGAUCCCAGACGAGGUGGAUGAUUUUUAUCAGAUUGUCGAACACGAUAAUGUGAGUUUGGAUUUAGAAGAUGAUAUUCCAGUGGAGAAGCAUACAGUCCGUGAGAUAUCUAAUAAAGAGAUUUUCAAUAUUUUGAAAACAUCAGAUUUUCUCCAUCACGAAAGCGAUCGAGAGUUCGUUUGGGAUGCUGCAAGUCAUAUAGCAG